UUUUUUUUUUUUUUUUUUUUUUUUUGCACAAUGCUACUCCAGUGCACCGGAUGUGUGUUGUUCAUCAAAAGUUGAAUAAGAAAGCUCAGCUGAUCGCAAGAAUAAACAUGAACA
rnacentral:ribozyme from 15 species